GACGAACGCUGGCGGCGUGCCUAAUACAUGCAAGUAGAACGCUGAAGAGAGGAGCUUGCCCUUCUUGGAUGAGUUGCGAACGGGUGAGUAACGCGUAGGUAACCUGCCGUGUAGCGGGGGAUAAAUAUUGGAAACGAUAGCUAAUACCGCAUAACAAUGGAUGACACAUUUCAUUUAUUUGAAAGGGGCAAUUGCUCCACUACAAGAUGGACCUGCGUUGUAUUAGCUAGUAGGUGAGGUAAUGGCUCACCUAGGCGACGAUACAUAGCCGACCUGAGAGGGUGAUCGGCCACACUGGGACUGAGACACGGCCCAGAACCCUACGGGAGGCAGCAGUAGGGAAUCUUCGGCAAUGGGGGCAACCCUGACCGAGCAACGCCGCGUGAGUGAAGAAGGUUUUCGGAUCGUAAAGCUCUGUUGUAAGUCAAGAACGGGUGUGAGAGUGGAAAGUUCACACUGUGACGGUAGCUUACCAGAAAGGGACGGCUAACUACGUG
rnacentral:rRNA from 1 species